rnacentral:rRNA from 1 species
UACGGAGGGUGCAAGCGUUAAUCGGAAUAACUGGGCGUAAAGCGCACGCAGGCGGUCGGAUAAGUCAGAUGUGAAAGCCCCGGGCUCAACCUGGGAACUGCAUUUGAAACUGUCUGACUAGAGUCUUGUAGAGGGGGGUAGAAUUCCAGGUGUAGCGGUGAAAUGCGUAGAGAUCUGGAGGAAUACCGGUGGCGAAGGCGGCCCCCUGGACAAAGACUGACGCUCAGGUGCGAAAGCGUGGGGAGCAAACAGG